GACGAACCGCCCGAACGUUAUUCGGAAUCACUGGGCUUAAAGGGAGCGUAGGCGGGCUGCCAAGUCCGGGGUGAAAUCCUCCAGCUUAACUGGAGAACUGCCUCGGAUACUGGAAGUCUCGAGGAGGGUAGGGGCACGCGGAACUGUGGGUGGAGCGGUGAAAUGCGUUGAUAUCCAUAGGAACUCCGGUGGCGAAGGCGGCGUGCUGGACCCUUCUGACGCUGAGGCUCGAAAGCCAGGGAGCAAACGGG
rnacentral:rRNA from 1 species